CAUUUAUUUAUUUAGUUCGCUCUUUAGUAGAAUCAUCAAUUUCCCGAAAAUAUUAAAGAUUUUUUUCUCAGAAAAAAAAAAUAUUUGCUUCUCUUUUACGUCUUUUUGGUCUAUCUUGAUUGGGCAACUAAAAUAGAUAUCUGAAGCCAGAAGCCGUAACAAAAUGAAUUUUAGAAUGUGAAUAAUUUCAGUAGCCUUAUCUCUCAAAUAGAAGAGUAGAACAUACAUUAUGUUGACAUAAAAAGGAAUUGAUUUAGAUUUACAAAUAUAUAAAUCCUUAUAGGUCUAUAAUAACACAAAAAAAAAAUAAAUAAACGUCAUUAAAACAUACAGUUAUUGUAAUACUCAUUUAAACGCAAACAAUGUGUUUACAAAAUUAUUGAAACACAAAUGUGUUGAUGCACCCAUACGUGUGUCGUGAUUGCAGGCGCUAACACUUAGAAGAAGUAAAAUAAUGCUUUGCAUUCUAUAAGAUAUAGCAAAAAAUCCAACAGAUUUAUUUUCUGAACAAUAUAUUUUUAUAUUUGUUACUGUACUUGUGAUAUUGAUUGUAGUUUCACCUGAUAAGAUUUACGCCACGCGAAAACCAAGUUGUAUGAUACAAUGUUAAUAAAUAAAAGAAUUCACAGACUAAUUUCUGCUUUGAACAGUAGAACGAAUACAUUAUACUUGUUUAAAGCUAUAUUUAAAGUAGUCACAUUAUGUCUAUUAAUUAAACAUUAAAUAAAGAGUGAAGAUUAUUGUUAAGGGUACACACUUAUAUCAGGAAUUUAAUUAUAUAAAUCAGCGUAUAGAUUGAAACAUCCCUACAAAACGUAGGUUAUCGACAAGUAUAGAGUAUAAUCUGUCUUUAAAUAUUACGAAGGCUGUGGCGGAUGUAGCAACAUAAGUGCGACGUUAGCUGAUUAAGCUAUAAUAUCAAUAGCAUUUUUUUUAAAUAAAUAUUGAUAUUGCCACUCUUUCUAUCCAAAGUACAAACAGCAAGCUGUCAGCUACUUUUUGCUGUUUAUGAUGUGUCGUAUUCUUACUUUCUGGAAAACAAACCAUGUAAAAGAAUAAUGGAUGAACAGUGUUAGCAAUGCAAGAGUCCCUUUUCGAUCACUUAUUCUGUGGACAUAAAUUAGCACUUGCUGGUACGUAAUGUAUUCUAUGUUUUAAUUUAUUAAUUGUUUAAUUAUUAUAUUACUAAUAACAAAAACAUGUUCGUAUCAAAAAUAGGAAUGUGGUAAUUUCAGACGACUUCUAUAUCCAAAAGCGUUUAAGUAACUAUCAUAUCUACCAGAGAGUUCUUUAUCAGUGCGAAAUAAAGAAAGCAGUUCUUUGCUGGUAAAGAAAGGAUUUUUGAUUUCCAGAUUUUGACAAUCUUUUCUUUUUCCCAGCACAAUAAACAAAUUCUAUAAGUUCAAACAAUGGGUCCUUUAGCCUUAUUUAAACUGGAUGGGAAUGUUAAAAGGGCAUAGCCAGUUAUAUACAGAACACGUGUUUAUUCAAUGUCAGAUCAAAAUAUCUUCGCAAAAUAAAUGCUAGAUGCAAUAGUUUAACAAGUAACUACUUACUACUCUUGGAGUAAAACAUGUACGAUCCGAUCUGAUAUUCAAGAGUUUGCCUUUUUAUUUAAUCUAUUUUCGUCAGUAUUUUAUAUUCCACUUUUAGUUUUCAAUUAUUUAAUUAAUGGGAAAAUGCUAUACAGAGAUAUUUUGCAUAAUGUUAUUACGGAUGUAUCAGCAACAAAUUUUAAAAUACUGCUGGCAUUAUGCAUGCAGUAACGUUAAAUAUAUCACGGCUCCUCCAAACAUGAGAUAGAAGAGUAUCUAUAUUCUGACGUAAAAGAACACAUUUAAAUCAUUAAAUAUUAAAUCAGGCAUGCAAUUGGUAAAGGGCAGUAAAAUAAUUUUGAACCUAGUGUCAUAAGCCUGACUUCAAUUAUGGAAUAUAUAAUCAUAAAAUAGCUAUCGUAAUGCAAGAAAUAAAAUACCAUUUACAGCUGUUUCACAGAAGACAAAGGCAUUUAACAUUGAGCUACAUUACACGAUGUAUCGAUAUUGCAUGAUGGCUGACAUUCUGGACAUCUUCCGAUUAGUUGGGAAUGUUCUUCAGCAAAUGCUUAGUUAUGGAACUAUGAUGAUGUCUCUCCCUACAUAUCCCGGAGGCUUUUCUGCACCUACAGCAGUUCCUUCUGUUACAGUACUUGUGUUGGUGGAUAAUGAAACAGAGAGUGUUGUACAACAAAAUAAAAGACUGAGAGAACUCAUCAUGUGCAUCAGUUGUAAAACGCGACCAAGAGAAGUUGUCUACAUUCCAUGCGGACAUAUCUUGUACUGUGGUAUCUGUGAUAAUCUAAAGUAUCACAUCAACUGUCCAAUAUGUCACACAAGAAUUAGAGGGACGGUUUAUAUGGAAAUAUAGCUCAAACGUUCAAAGAUAGUCAAGGGACGUUAUGAUGCAGAUUUACUCUAUUCAACUAAUUAUAUUCGUAUACCAUUGAGAUAUAUCAUAGUUAACAAUUUCAGCAUCGGUGAAUAUAGCGCCCCUUUUUGAAUUUAUCAUUGUUUUCUGUCACCAGUUUUAUUUCACGACAGGUGUAUUUGACAACCGUCAAUAUCCAUUUUUGAUUACAGUUUAAUUGUAUAUGCGAGACAUAUUUAGAAUCACAAAAACUGUUUGAUCUGCUAUUUAUAUUGUUUCAAAAUAUUUUAUCAAUGCAGACUUCUUGUUGAUUUGGUGAAAAAAAUUAGCAUUUAAGGUCGGAUUAGUUUGACAUUGUUUAGUACUGGUGAGUCUGUCGAAAGUGUCUUUGCAGUUUGUAUCUCAGUGUUAUUAAUAUUCUUGUCACAUAGAAUAGUUCAUUUUACCACUGCUUACAAUAUGUUUAACGCAUACAUUUUGUUUAUUCUUUGUAAGUUUCAUGUCAAAUGUGGAUGUUGCAUGAACCUACGGAAUAGAGCAUGUAAAAUUGAACAAUGUCUAUGAUUGUAUCAGUAGAUUGUUUAUCCAGGCCCCAUGUGGUUCUGGGACGAUCUGUGUAUGGAACCACUGCCUUACCCUUGCAUGAUCGUAAAAGGCGACUAAUAGGGUCUUAACAUUUGGUUUUGCAGUAACUCUGUGAUUCCAGCAGGUAUGAAAAUUUUGAUUCCAUACCUCAUGUUUUUAUUUCGAUGUAAAUGAGAUGUGGGACCAAAAUGUGUAGUCCUGUUUGGCGCCAUAUAACCUAUACUGUGUUGGUGCGCCGUAAAACCCAAAUAAAUAAAUAAGUAAAUUGUUUAUCCAGAUGUUUAUCCCUUGUGUUGAUAACGUUAGUGAAUUAAUUUAACCAGUACAGUUAAAUUUUGAUUGUGUAGUGUUUCGCCGGAAUACGUAUAUCUUCAGAAAAAGUCUCAACUUUCUUAGUUUUGAAUGUGAUAGCCGGAACAGAGACAGUUCUGCAAAAUCUGUGACAUCUGGAAAUCUGUUCAAUAGACAGCUUGCGUGUUAUUAGCGUUUUACAAAUAAGACAUGACCACAGCCGAUAUGCUAAAAUGACAAUAAACAACUUUAUUCAUACUGAAGAAGCAUACAUAUGCAAUAUUGUAGGGAUUACGCCUGUUUUUUCGUGUUACAACAUCUGUAGAAUCCCAAGGGACUGAUUGGUACCCGAACCCGAUAGGCCGAGGGUACCAUAAUUUCCGGAGGAAUUCUGAAGAUACUAUAACAAUAUGUGAAAAUGCGUGGACGCUAUUAUAACAUAAAAUUUGUAGAAAACUAAUGAAUAAAUUAUCCCAUAACGUCACAAAAUUUCCACGAAACGGGCAGCAAUGUCGAUGUCUGGGUUGUUUUUUCUCAUGUUGGUGUCAUAGCAGACCGUAAUGUGUUUACGCUGCGCGACAGAACGCGCAUAUAUAUGAAAAUGUUUUAAUAACACAUGAGUUGGAGAAUGGAGAAUCUCUUAGUUAACUCUUAAAACACACCUGAAAAGUGACAAGAACAGUAAUUUUAUGUUAGAAUAUCAAGAAACGUUUUGAAAUGUUAUUGAAAUGUUAAAAGUUAUAUUUGACAACUGUUACAUGUUUAAAAUUGAUCUAUUUAUGUCUGUUUCCUGAUACAUAUCAAAGAUGUUUAAUUUUUUUUUCUCUGCCAUAUUUUGCUUCCUACCAUUAAGCCUAUAAAGCAACAUUGAUAUCAUAAAACAAUUGCUGACUCUUGAACCAUUGAACACCAGAAGAAGACAAUAUUGACUGAAGCGAUGAAGUUAUGUAAUUCAUAUGGGUAUCGCGGAGUUUGGCUUAUGUUUUGGCUGACCCCUUUAUUGUGUAAUGAGGUAGUGUUCAUUAACAAAUAAAAUUUUCUAUACAGCUUGAGUAAAAAGAUUACAAAUUUUGUAUUUUCAGGAUAUUGUAUACAUAUUCUACGUUUCGAAGUACCGGCCACUAACUACCUUGAAACAAUAGAUUCACUGUACUCAUCAAUUAGCUAAGACUUUGCAUUUUAAAGGGAGAUUUUGCUUGGAGCUACGCCUCAAAUGCAUCAGAAAGAAACAUGUUAAGACCCAAUUGAUUUGUCGGCGCUGCCUUUUUCAGUCGAAUAGAUGGUUCGAUUUCAACUAAGUACAUUAUGUUUGGCUUUUUGUGAAAUAUAUGGUCUACAAAUAGC